rnacentral:rRNA from 1 species
UGGCGGCGUGCYUAAUACAUGCAAGUCGAGCGGAUCUUCAUUAGCUUGCUUUUGAAGAUCAGCGGCGGACGGGUGAGUAACACGUGGGCAACCUGCCUGUAAGACUGGGAUAACUUCGGGAAACCGGAGCUAAUACCGKAUAAUCCUUUCCCUCACAUGAGGGAAAGCUKAAAGACGGUUUCGGCUGUYACUUACAGAUGGGCCCGCGGCGCAUUAGCUAGUUGGUGAGGUAACGGCUCACCAAGGCAACGAUGCGUAGCCGACCUGAGAGGGUGAUCGGCCACACUGGGACUGAGACACGGCCCAGACUCUACGGGAGGCAGCAGUAGGGAAUCUUCCGCAAUGGACGAAAGUCUGACGGAGCAACGCCGCGUGAACGAUGAAGGCUUUCGGGUCGUAAAGUUCUGUUGUCAGGGAAGAACAAGUAUCGGAGUAACUGCCGGUACCUUGACGGUACCUGACCAGAAAGCCACGGCUAACUACGUGCCAGCAGCCGCGGUAAUACGUAGGUGGCAAGCGUUGUCCGGAAUUAUUGGGCGUAAAGCGCGCGCAGGCGGUUCCUUAAGUCUGAUGUGAAAGCCCCCGGCUCAACCGGGGAGGGUCAUUGGAAACUGGGGAACUUGAGUGCAGAAGAGGAGAGCGGAAUUCCACGUGUAGCGGUGAAAUGCGUAGAGAUGUGGAGGAACACCAGUGGCGAAGGCGGCUCUCUGGUCUGUMACUGACGCUGAGGCGCGAAAGCGUGGGGMGCGAACAGGAUUAGAUACCCUGGUAGUCCACGCCGUAAACGAUGAWUGCUAAGUGUUAGAGGUUUCGCCCUUUAGUWUWCGCAAACGCGMUUAMGCACCCWCCU